GGUGCCUUGGCCGAGCGGUUAGGCAACGGUCUGCAAAACCGUCUACACCGGUUCAAAUCCGGUAGGUACCU
rnacentral:tRNA from 1 species